GGAUGGAGUGAUGAUUAUUUUUUUCCCUAUUGGUUUGAUUGCCUGAAUGAUGGCAGCCUGUAUUAGCUCUAUAUGACCAUUC